AUGAGAAUAUUGGAAAACAUCAAUUUUGAUGCUCUGGUUGACCUUAUGCUUGCAGCUGAGUGUACUUAUUCUGAUGCACUGGUUGACCUUAUGCUUCUAGCUGAGCUAGAAUUCCUCCUAUUCAAAUGCUCGCAACAUUCAAUUAUGUUUUAUUCGAAAGCUACUUGCCGUAAAGUAGUAUAUGUGGUAGCUUUUCAGUAUAGCUUCCAAAAACAUGUGGUUCAAGUCCUCAAUUUGUUUAGAAGAAGAUAG
rnacentral:rRNA from 1 species